rnacentral:rRNA from 1 species
GAUCAUGGCUCAGAACGAACGCUGGCGGCAUGCCUAACACAUGCAAGUCGAACGAGACCUUCGGGUCUAGUGGCGCACGGGUGCGUAACGCGUGGGAAUCUGCCCUUGGGUUCGGAAUAACAGCGAGAAAUGACUGCUAAUACCGAAUGAUGUCUUCGGACCAAAGAUUUAUCGCCCAAGGAUGAGCCCGCGUCGGAUUAGCUAGUUGGUGAGGUAAAGGCUCACCAAGGCGACGAUCCGUAGCUGGUCUGAGAGGAUGAUCAGCCACACUGGGACUGAGACACGGCCCAGACUCCUACGGGAGGCAGCAGUGGGGAAUAUUGGACAAUGGGCGAAAGCCUGAUCCAGCAAUGCCGCGUGAGUGAUGAAGGCCUUAGGGUUGUAAAGCUCUUUUACCCGGGAUGAUAAUGACAGUACCGGGAGAAUAAGCCCCGGCUAACUCCGUG